GAUGAACGCUGGCGGCGUGCCUAAUACAUGCAAGUCGAGCGAACAGAUAAGGAGCUUGCUCCUUUGACGUUAGCGGCGGACGGGUGAGUAACACGUGGAUAACCUACCUAUAAGACUGGGAUAACUUCGGGAAACCGGAGCUAAUACCGGAUAAGAUUUUGAACCGCAUGGUUCAAUAGUGAAAGACGGCCUUGCUGUCACUUAUAGAUGGAUCCGCGCCGUAUUAGCUAGUUGGUAAGGUAACGGCUUACCAAGGCAACGAUACGUAGCCGACCUGAGAGGGUGAUCGGCCACACUGGAACUGAGACACGGUCCAGACUCCUACGGGAGGCAGCAGUAGGGAAUCUUCCGCAAUGGGCGAAAGCCUGACGGAGCAACGCCGCGUGAGUGAUGAAGGUCUUCGGAUCGUAAAACUCUGUUAUCAGGGAAGAACAAACGUGUAAGUAACUGUGCACGUCUUGACGGUACCUGAUCAGAAAGCCACGGCUAACUACGUGC
rnacentral:rRNA from 1 species